GCCUCCGUGGUGUAAUGGUCAGCACACUCGGCGCGUAUUCGAGAAAUCCGAGGUUCAAGUCCCGGCGGGCGCA
rfam:Stegodyphus mimosarum contig63199, whole genome shotgun sequence.